AGAGUUUGAUCCUGGCUCAGAACGGACGCUGGCGGCAGGCCUAACACAUGCAAGUCGAGCGCCCGCAAGGGGAGCGGCGGACGGGUGAGUAACGCGUGGGAACGUACCCUUUGCUACGGAAUAGCCUCGGGAAACUGGGAGUAAUACCGUAUGUGUCCUUCGGGAGAAAGAUUUAUCGGCAAGGGAUCGGCCCGCGUUGGAUUAGGUAGUUGGUGGGGUAAUGGCCUACCAAGCCGACGAUCCAUAGCUGGUUUGAGAGGAUGAUCAGCCACACUGGGACUGAGACACGGCCCAGACUCCUACGGGAGGCAGCAGUGGGGAAUCUUAGACAAUGGGCGCAAGCCUGAUCUAGCCAUGCCGCGUGAGCGAUGAAGGCCUUAGGGUUGUAAAGCUCUUUCAGGGGGGAAGAUAAUGACUGUACCCCCAGAAGAAGCCCCGGCUAACUCCGUG
rnacentral:rRNA from 1 species